rnacentral:rRNA from 1 species
UGAAUCCAUAGGUUAAUGAGGCGAACCGGGGGAACUGAAACAUCUAAGUACCCCGAGGAAAAGAAAUCAACCGAGAUUCCCCCAGUAGCGGCGAGCGAACGGGGAGCAGCCCAGAGCCUGAAUCAGUGUGUGUGUUAGUGGAAGCGUCUGGAAAGGCGUGCGAUACAGGGUGACAGCCCCGUACACAAAAAUGCACAUAUUGUGAGCUCGAUGAGUAGGGCGGGACACGUGGUAUCCUGUCUGAAUAUGGGGGGACCAUCCUCCAAGGCUAAAUACUCCUGACUGACCGAUAGUGAACCAGUACCGUGAGGGAAAGGCGAAAAGAACCCCGGCGAGGGGAGUGAAAAAGAACCUGAAACCGUGUACGUACAAGCAGUGGGAGCACGCUUAGGCGUGUGACUGCGUACCUUUUGUAUAAUGGGUCAGCGACUUAUAUUCUGUAGCAAGGUUAACCGAAUAGGGGAGCCGAAGGGAAACCGAGUCUUAACUGGGCGUUAAGUUGCAGGGUAUAGACCCGAAACCCGGUGAUCUAGCCAUGGGCAGGUUGAAGGUUGGGUAACACUAACUGGAGGACCGAACCGACUAAUGUUGAAAAAUUAGCGGAUGACUUGUGGCUGGGGGUGAAAGGCCAAUCAAACCGGGAGAUAGCUGGUUCUCCCCGAAAGCUAUUUAGGUAGCGCCUCGUGAAUUCAUCUCCGGGGGUAGAGCACUGUUUCGGCAAGGGGGUCAUCCCGACUUACCAACCCGAUGCAAACUGCGAAUACCGGAGAAUGUUAUCACGGGAGACACACGGCGGGUGCUAACGUCCGUCGUGAAGAGGGAAACAACCCAGACCGCCAGCUAAGGUCCCAAAGUCAUGGUUAAGUGGGAAACGAUGUGGGAAGGCCCAGACAGCCAGGAUGUUGGCUUAGAAGCAGCCAUCAUUUAAAGAAAGCGUAAUAGCUCACUGGUCGAGUCGGCCUGCGCGGAAGAUGUAACGGGGCUAAACCAUG